UCGGGAAUUUUGGGCAAUGGGCGAAAGCCUGACCCAGCAACGCCGCGUGAGGGAUGAAGUAUUUCGGUAUGUAAACCUCGAAAGAAUGGGAAGAAUAAAUGACGGUACCAUUUAUAAGCUCCGGCUAACUACGUGCCAGCAGCCGCGGUAAUACGUAGGGAGCAAGCGUUGUUCGGAUUUACUGGGCGUAAAGGGCGCGUAGGCGGCGCGGUAAGUCACUUGUGAAAUCUCUGAGCUUAACUCAGAACGGCCAAGUGAUACUGCUGUGCUAGAGUGCGGAAGAGGCAACCGGAAUUCUUGGUGUAGCGGUGAAAUGCGUAGAUAUCAAGAGGAACACUUGAGGCGAAGGCGGGUUGCUGGGCCGACACUGACGCUGAUGCGCGAAAGCCAGGGGAGCAAACG
rnacentral:rRNA from 1 species